UCCGGUGACUAUAGCGGGGAGGUCACACCUGUUCCCAUCCCGAACACAGUAGUUAAGCUCCCCUGCGCUGAUAAUACUCGGCGGGCGACCGCCCGGGAAAGCAGGACGUUGCCGGUU
rnacentral:rRNA from 1 species